rnacentral:rRNA from 1 species
AACGAACGCUGGCGGCAUGCCUAACACAUGCAAGUCGAACGAAGGCUUCGGCCUUAGUGGCGCACGGGUGAGUAACGCGUGGGAAACUGCCUAUUGGUGGGGAAUAACGACGGGAAACUGUCGCUAAUACCGCAUAAGCCCUUCGGGGGAAAGAUGUAUCGCCGAUAGAUGUGCCCUCCUCCGAUUAGCUAGUUGGUGAGGUAAUGGCUCACCAAGGCGACGAUCGGUAGCUGGUCUGAGAGGAUGAUCAGCCACACUGGGACUGAGACACGGCCCAGACUCCUACGGGAGGCAGCAGUGGGGAAUAUUGGACAAUGGGCGAAAGCCUGAUCCAGCAAUGCCGCGUGAGUGAUGAAGGCCUUAGGGUUGUAAAGCUCUUUCGGGUGGGACGAUGAUGACGGUACCACCAGAAGAAGCCCCGGCUAACUUCGUGCCAGCCGCCGCGGUAA